rnacentral:rRNA from 1 species
CCUACGGGGGGCAGCAGUGAGGAAUAUUGGUCAAUGGGCGCGAGCCUGAACCAGCCAAGUCGCGUGAGGGAGGACGGCCCUACGGGUUGUAAACCUCUUUUGCCGGGGAGCAACGGGCGUCACGUGUGGCGCCACUGCGAGUACCCGGAGAAAAAGCAUCGGCUAACUCCGUGCCAGCAGCCGCGGUAAUACGGAGGAUGCUGGCGUUAUCCGGAUUUAUUGGGUUUAAAGGGUGCGUAGGCGGAUCGUUAAGUCAGUGGUCAAAUUGAGGGGCUCAACCCCUUCCCGCCAUUGAAACUGGCGUUCUUGAGUGGAAGAGAAGUAUGCGGAAUGCGUGGUGUAGCGGUGAAAUGCAUAGAUAUCACGCAGAACCCCGAUUGCGAAGGCAGCAUGCCGGCUUCCGACUGACGCUGAAGCACGAAAGCGUGGGGAUCGAACAGGAUUAGAUACCCCAGUAGUC